rnacentral:rRNA from 1 species
CCUACGGGUGGCAGCAGUGGGGAAUAUUGCGCAAUGGGCGAAAGCCUGACGCAGCGACGCCGCGUGGGUGAUGAAGGCCUUCGGGUUGUAAAGCCCUGUCGGGUGGAACGAACGAUCUGGCGGCGAAUAACCGCCGGGUGUGACGGUACCACCGAAGGAAGCCCCGGCUAACUACGUGCCAGCAGCCGCGGUAAGCCGUAGGGGGCUAGCGGUGGUCGGAUUUACUGGGCGUAAUGCGCGCGUAGGCGGCGAAAUCCCUGGGCUUAACCGAGGUCCCGCUUCCGAUACUGGCUGGCUCGAGUCUAGGAGAGGAAAGCGGAAUUCCCAGUGUAGCGGUGAAAGGCGUAGAUAUUGGGAGGAACACCGGUGGCGAAGGCGGCUUUCCGGACUAGUACUGACGCUGAGGCGCGAAAGCUAGGGGAGCGAACGGGAUUAGAUACCCUGGUAGUC